GACGAACGCUGGCGGCGUGCUUAACACAUGUAAGUCGAACGAUGAAGCCGGAGCUUGCUCCGGUGGAUUAGUGGCGAACGGGUGAGUAACACGUGAGCAAUCUGCCCUUGACUCUGGGAUAACUGCGGGAAACUGUAGCUAAUACCGGAUACGACACCUUGGGGCAUCCCAGGGUGUGGAAAGAAUUUUGGUCAAGGAUGAGCUCGCGGCCUAUCAGCUAGUUGGUGAGGUAAUGGCUCACCAAGGCGACGACGGGUAGCCGGCCUGAGAGGGUGACCGGCCACACUGGAACUGAGACACGGUCCAGACUCCUACGGGAGGCAGCAGUGGGGAAUAUUGCACAAUGGGCGAAAGCCUGAUGCAGCAACGCCGCGUGAGGGAUGAAGGCCUUCGGGUUGUAAACCUCUUUUAGCAGGGAAGAAGCGAAAGUGACGGUACCUGCAGAAAAAGCACCGGCUAACUACGUGCCAGCAGCCGCCGUAA
rnacentral:rRNA from 1 species